rnacentral:tRNA from 1 species
GAGACUCGAACUCGCGACCCCGACCUUGGCAAGGUCGUGCUCUACCAACUGAGCUAUUCCCGCGUUACAACUUGUU